ACCAUGAACGUUGCCUCCGCCCACACUCUGCAGUCCGCCCUCCUCUGCCUCCUCCGCCAGCGCAAGCGCAUCCGAUCCUUCGACCAAAUCCACGCUCUGAUCCUCACGUCCGGCGUCACCAAGGACUCCUUCGUGGCCGCCGAGGUCGCCGCCCUUCUUCCUGCUUUUGUGGCUCCUCCCGCGGCCUACUCAGCCGUCAAGCACAUCCACGGCGUCCGCCGCUACCAGUUCCCCCUGCUAUUCAACUCGUUGAUCUCCGGAUAUGCCAGGAGCAAGCACCCACACCUGGGCAUCGUCGCGUAUAAGCUUAUGCUCGCUGACGGCAUCUUUCCCGAUAGGUACACCUUCCCGAUCGUUCUGAAAUCUUGCAUCAAGUUCUCGGGGAUCGGCGAAGCCAGGCAGCUUCAAGGUGCCGCAGUUAAGCUGCGGUUCUCGUGCGAUCUGUUUGUCCAGAAUGCACUUGUUCAUGUAUACGCAGUGUGUGAGGAAUAUGGUGAUGCAGGUCUCCUGUUUGACGAAAUGCCCAUUAAAGACGUGGUCUCCUGGACCAGCUUGAUCUCGGGAUAUGUGAAAGGUGGAUUAUUCGGAAAAGCUCUGCAAUUGUUUUCUCUGAUGGAUGUGGAGCCGAACAUUGCAACUCUAGUUAGCAUCAUCGUCGCCUGUGGGAGAUUGGGGGCUUUGAAUGUGGGCAGGGCAAUACAUGCAUUGACAUUGAAGCAUGACUAUGGGUUGAGUCUGGUUGCUGGAAAUGCCCUUCUGGAUAUGUACUUGAAGUGCGAGUGUUUGGAGGAGGCCAGACAGAUAUUUGAUGAACUUCCUGAAAGGGACAUAGUUUCAUGGACUAGUUUUAUUAGUGGGUUAGUGCAAUGCAAGCUUCCCAAGGAAGCUAUGGAUGUUUUCAAUUCCAUGCAGGCUUCUGGAGUGGAGCCAGACAAUGUCACUCUAUGUAGUGUUCUGUCAGCUUGUGCGAGCUUGGGGGCAUUGUCUUCUGGGAGAUGGGUCCAUGAGUACAUAGAGCGAAAGGGCAUUCAGUGGGAUGUUCAUCUAGGGACCGCAAUGGUUGACAUGUACUCUAAGUGUGGAUGCGUAGAUAUGGCAGUGCACAGCUUUCAUGAGAUGCCACAUAAGAAUGUUACCUCGUGGAAUGCAUUGCUUGGUGCCCUAGCCACUCAUGGUCAUGGUAAUGAAGCUCUCAAGUACUUCGAACAAAUGGCGGGAGUUGGUGUCAUUCCUAAUGAGGUUACCUUUGUAGCUAUUCUUUGUGCAUGUUGUCAUUCUGGCUUAGUAAAAGAGGGUUGUCAUAUGUUUGAUUUGAUGACUAAAUCCUACAAACUUGUGCCAUGGAUAGAACACUAUGGAUGCAUGGUUGAUUUGCUUGGUAGAGCUGGGUUCAUAUCAGAAGCUUAUGGACUUGUUAGAUCCAUGCCAAUUAGAGCUGACACUUAUGUAUGGGGAGCUUUACUGAGCGCUUGCAAAGCUCAUGGAAAUGUGGAACUUUCUCAAGAAAUCCUAUGCCACCUUCUUGAGCUGGAGCCUUCUGACAGCGGCGUGUAUGUGCUCCUCUCUAACAUAUUUGCUGCAGAUUGUAGGUGGGCAGAUGUAACAAGGGUGAGGAGGCUGAUGAGGCAGAGCAGUGUAAAGAAAGAAACAGGAACCAGUAUUGUCGAGGUGAAUGGUGAAGCUCAUGAGUUUAUAGUUGGAGAGUUUCUCCACCCAUUGAAGGAGGACAUUUUGCUAGCCUUGUGUACUCUAGAUAAACAAUUGCAACAUGGUGAACUAUAGCAGGGAUUCAAAACUAGUGGAAGGUUGUGCAGGCUCUCGAAAACUCUUUCCAGGUUUGACUCAAGUAACUUGCACCUUCAGCACAACAAGGGCAACAGAAGAUAAACAGAGCUCACAGUCGACUAUAUUCCACGAAUGUAUCAUGGUUCAAGUCUGCUGAUAUAAGCAUUCAAAAGAAAGAAGAUAAGCACAAAGUUAUGUCUACUGAAGCUGGAAGUCCUGUAAAAAAUUUAUGCAAGUGGGAGUUGAUGAGUUAUUGAAAGUUGGGCAAUCGACAUGCUGAUGUCCCAAAUAUUUGGGUAUGCAUUGCCAGGAAAGGAUGCAGUACUAUAAGGGCAUGAUGUACAAGUAUGUAUGGUAAUUGAUGUCUCAUGGACGAUAUAUUUCAGGAUGCAGUGCUAUAAGGGCAUGAUGUACAAGUAUAUAAGGCAAUUGAUGUUUUUAUAUUCUUCUUACAGGAAUAAGCAAGGUAGGUUAAGAUUGUCAUGGAAGAAAUGUGAAUCAUAUUCUAUUUAUUGAUCGAAGAGCUAGGCCUUGUAUACGUUUUAAAAUCCUGAUCUAGUUUCCCUACACUGUUACCUUUCAGGGUUGAACAACCUACAAAUUGUUUUAUUGAGGCCAAGAAAGAGGUAAUGAUGGAGGCAUUGGGAAAUAAUGGAUAAUUCUAUGUUCACAGACUUUGGCCAUGAAACUAAGCCGCAGCCUGCUCAUGUUGUCCUAGGCUUAUGCACUGCUCAUAGUUUCUGAACCAUAAUUCAUGUCUGACAUUUGGCAAACAGUGUUUGGUAUCAACAGGAUGCUUUUGCAUUUUACUCUUUAGAGGAUCUAGGUAGAUGCUGUUGCAUUUGUGUACUCUUUAGUGAGUUUAGGUAGAUGCUUUUGCAUUUGUGUUCUUUAUAGGAUCUGGAUAUGCACAAAGCACAUCCCAAUUUGGAAAGCACAGUGCAAUUCCAAAUGAUGGUUCCCUGGACAUUGAGUCAGGCACUAUAUAUAUGUCUGGUGAGCUAAGUUAGAUAAUUUGCAUGAGUUAGUUGAACCCUAUUAUUGUUCUGAUGUACCUU